GUGUCAGCAGCCGCGGUAAUACAGAGGUCCCGAGCGUUGUUCGGAUUCACUGGGCGUAAAGGGUGCGUAGGUGGUGGCGUAAGUCGGAUGUGAAAUCUCGGAGCUCAACUCCGAAAAGGCAUUGGAAACUGCGUUGCUAGAGGGUUGGAGGGGGGACUGGAAUGCUUGGUGUAGCAGUGAAAUGCGUAGAUAUCAAGCGGAACACCAGUGGCGAAGGCGAGUCCCUGGACAACACCUGACACUGAGGCACGAAAGCUAGGGGAGCAAACAGGAUUAGAUACCCUUGUAGUCC
rnacentral:rRNA from 1 species